AUUCCAGCUCCAAUAGCGUAUAUUAAAGUUGUUGCGGUAAAAAAGCUCGUAGUUGGAUUUCUACCGAAGAUAGCCGGUCGGGUCUUCGACCUUGUAUCUGGUUUUGUCUUUGGUAUCCUCAUGGGGAACGUUGCUGCGCUUCACUGCGUGGUGCGGUAUCCAUGACUUUUACUUUGAGGAAAUUAGAGUGUUCACGGCAGGCAAACGCCCUGAAUAUAUUAGCAUGGAAUAAUAACAUAGGAUCUUCGUCCUAUUUUGUUGGUUUCUAGGGCUAAGAUAAUGAUUAAUAGGGAUAAUUGGGGGCAUCUGUAUCAACGCGUCAGAGGUGGAACUCUUGGAUUGCGUUGCGACAAACUACUGCGAAAGCAUUUGCCAAGGAUGUUUUCAUCA
rnacentral:rRNA from 1 species